rnacentral:rRNA from 1 species
CACGUAGUUAGCCGUCCCUUUCUGGUAGGAUACCGUCACAGUGUGAACUUUCCACUCUCACACUCGUUCUUCUCUUACAACAGAGCUUUACGAUCCGAAAACCUUCUUCACUCACGCGGCGUUGCUCGGUCAGACUUCCGUCCAUUGCCGAAGAUUCCCUACUGCUGCCUCCCGUAGGAGUCUGGGCCGUGUCUCAGUCCCAGUGUGGCCGAUCACCCUCUCAGGUCGGCUAUGUAUCGUCGCCUUGGUGAGCCGUUACCCCACCAACUAGCUAAUACAACGCAGGUCCAUCUGGUGGUGAUGCAAUUGCUACCUUUUAAGCAAAUGUCAUGCAACAUCUACUCUUAUGCGGUAUUAGCUAUCGUUUACCAAUAGUUACUCCCCCGCUACCAGGCAGGUUACCUACGCGUUACUCCUACCCGUUCGACAACUCACUCCAGAGAAGUACAAGCCUACCUUCCUUCAGUCGUUUCUACUUGCUAUGUAUUAGGCACGCCGCCAGUCGUCGUCCG